GUCGCUUUGUCCGAGUGGUUAAGGAGAUAGACUUGAAAUCUAUUGCACGUGUGCGCGUAGGUUCAAAUCCUGCAGGCGACG
rnacentral:tRNA from 1 species